rnacentral:lncRNA from 1 species
CCUGCAGAAGUUGUUGCAUCAUUCCCUUCAGCUCAUCUGGCGGACCGCUCGCGGUUGCAGGAGCAGCUUGCGGAUUGUUCUGCCUGUUUUGAAAUUGAUUCUGAGCUUGGCUGAGGAUGAACAUCUUCCCAUUCUGAUUAUGAAGGUAUGGCUUUUGAUAUCCAAUGUUUUGAAACUGAUUUCCCUGAGAUCUGUCGUUGGGUUGUCUGGAUUCGUCUUGUAUGAGAACAGAUGCGGGUUGUUUCUCACAUUAGGGUUUGGAUGGUAGUUCCUGAACUGCCAACCCUGACCGUUAACAUAACUGACCUCUUGCUGAUUUUCUUUUGAUGUCUCGGGCUCUGCUGUAACAUCAGUAGUACCUUGUUCCAGAUUGGCUUCUUCCAUGACAUAGAUCUGAUUCUGAUUGUUCUAGAGCAGUAGAUCAACCUUUGCGGCGGGGUCAUCGAUCUUCCUAGUGUCCAUGCUGUUCACCUUCUUGGAGCGGUCAGUCUCCUUGUUAUUGUUGGAUGAGCUAGCUGCCAUGUUCUCUAUUAGCGCGUGAGCUCCUUCAGUGGUUUGGAUCAUGAAGUCUCCAUUGCUCGCUGCGUUUAGGGCAUUGCGGAACUCCUAAUCCAC